UGCCGGGUUAGUGAAGAGAGGAGGUAGGUAUUUCUCUCUGAAGUAACGAGGUAGGUACCGGCUGUGGCGGACUGGAGAAGGAGGAGCGCUGGCCGCUGGUACCGCAGGUUGUGGCAGUUCGAGUAGCUGUAGCGUCACUUGAAGUGACUACCGUACAAAUUCCCGUAGAUGGUGCCGUUCGUCACGGUGAGACGGCUGGAGGGGUCGCAGGAGCGCGCUCGGACCCGACGGCCGCAGCUGGCGUAGUAACAGUGGCCUCCCAGAGACUUCCUCAGAUCCCUUCGCGAACUCUAGCGGCUCUGGCUACCCUCCGAUAAAACGUGGCACCCUCAGGUGGGUUGCUCUACGCCCCUCAAACUCCUCUCACCUCUGGGCCUUCCCGUAAAAGUCCGAGAGAACCGAAACCGUUUCCUCCCGUAGCUCUUCCCGUUCCAACACCGUCAACCGCUCACACCAAACCUAAUACUGUCUGAAGUCAAGACAGGAAGUCUAUAUGUCUUCUUCAUGAAACUCUUUGUUAAGCUUAACCGAUUUCGUCAUUUUGAUGGCUACAAAGAAGUGUACGCACGACGACCACCUCUAAAGAGACUUUAGCAUAGUUUUUUAGACAUGUCCAAAGGUCCACCCCAAUGUGUAAGGAAGUGACCAUGACGUCUUCUUGCACUGUUCGAAGAAAGAUAGCUCUUAUACAAAUAUCCAUAAUUACCGACGAGAAACUUCUGAUUUCUUUUAGAACUCUAACAUCCUCCAUAAGGACGUCUCUCCUACUACUAUCUCUGUCUAAGAGGAAUAACACUGUAUUUUUUAUGAGUACGACCUUAGGUCAAACAUUUUAGCUAGACCGGUAGGUUCUUUUUUCUCUUCAUACUUGGACCAAAUUGUCAAUUCCCAGCGUUACUCGGAACAAAUCAUUCCGUUCAGGAACUCCAUCACCGACCUACGUUUCCAUAACGACUAUAUCUUCCGAAUUCAUUUUGAGACAUGGUGUUGUGUACGUCCGAGAAGAAGGGAGUACUGUACCUACGAAGACGUCUACGUGUCGAACUCUCACCACCACAAUGACGUCUUGUCUUAUCGACUAUUACGUCUCACUUAACAAAACUUUAUAAAGUAAAAACGAACGAGAAGCCAAAAGACCACAGAUACUUUAUAAAUACCACAGGAUUUUAAGAAGAUUUAAAUGUUCGAAGUUAAACUUUUACCGUAGCAUA
rnacentral:rRNA from 1 species